GCAUCAAGGAACAGCACAAAGUCUCAGUCCGCAUUCCUCCCGACAGUGAGAAGAGCAACUUGAUCCGGAUUGAGGGAGACCCUCAAGGGGUUCAGCUGGCUCGUAAGGAACUCCUGGAAAUGGCAGCCCGGAUGGAAAAUGAACGCACCAAGGACCUGAUCAUUGAACAGCGCUUUCACCGGACAAUCAUUGGGCAGAAAGGCGAGAAAAUUAAAGAAGUCCGGGACAAAUUUCCAGAACUCCUCUUUCUUCUGGGACGCUGGAGACGUGUCAGGUGGCAACAACCAAAGUCACUCAUGAAAAGCUUGUCAUCCAUUUAUUGACUUUUACCUGUAUUACAAGAAUCUCCUGAGGCUGCUUGCCUUCUCUGGGAACACCCCAAUAAGGUUUCAUGGAUCUUGGGAAGAGGGACAGUCAGGCUUAUGCCUUUUGCAAUUACACAGGGAAUCAGGGCUAGUUCCCCACUUGAGCCCCUCCUUCCAGCCAGGCUGGCAGUUUCCCAACAAGAGGGCGUGCAUGCAAGUCUCAUUUUAUUCUCAUAGCAAUAGCCCUCUGCGAUUACUAUGGAGAGCCAGCCCUCUAUAGCUGCAAAGAGCCAUGAACUUACUUUAAUACUGAGAUUAAAUUUUUCUGGUUAGCACUGAACACUCUAUAUACUCAAAACACUAGACUGAAACUGAACAACUUUGUCCUCUUUACAGCUUUGUUGUAUCACAGUCUUUGCAGAUACUGUUAGACAAAGAUCAGUAUUGCUUGACAUUCUAAGAAAUUAGUUUAUGUUUAAUGCAGAAUGUAUUGAAUCUCUGCCUUUUAAAAAGAAAAGUACACCCUUUUCAGAAAAGUGUUGAAGGUCCAACUAUUUUGUCGGGCCUUUUAACUGCUAAAUAGUCUUGGCACACAUUUUAAUUUAACUUGUCAACUUUUACAU